rnacentral:rRNA from 1 species
GGUAGAGCCUCGGACGAACACCAUUGGGGGUAGAGCACUGUUAAGGCUAGGGGGUCAUCCCGACUUACCAACCCUUUGCAAACUCCGAAUACCGAUGAGUGCUAUCCGGGAGACACACGGCGGGUGCUAACGUCCGUCGUGAAGAGGGAAACAACCCAGACCGCCAGCUAAGGUCCCAAAAUAUUGCUAAGUGGGAAACGAAGUGGGAAGGCUAAGACAGCUAGGAGGUUGGCUUAGAAGCAGCCAUCCUUUAAAGAAAGCGUAAUAGCUCACUAGUCGAGUCGGCCUGCGCGGAAGAUGUAACGGGGCUAAGCAAUAUACCGAAGCUGCGGAUUCACACUUAUGUGUGAGUGGUAGGGGAGCGUUGUGUAAGUGGUUGAAGGUGAACUGAGAGGUUUGCUGGACAUAUCACAAGUGCGAAUGCUGACAUGAGUAACGAUAAUGGGGGUGAAAAACCCCCACGCCGGAAGACCAAGGUUUCCUGUCCCAUGCUAAUCAGGGCAGGGUAAGUCGGCCCCUAAGGCGAGGCAGAAAUGCGUAGUCGAUGGGAAACGGAUUAAUAUUUCCGUACUUGUUAUAUCAGUGAAGGGGGACGGAGAAGGUUAUGCUAGCUUGGCGUUGGUUGUCCAAGUGAAAGUGCGUAGGGUUGAAUUUUAGGUAAAUCCGGGAUUCUACAUGCCUGAGACACGAGACGAGUCACUACGGUGACGAAGUAGCAAAUACCCUGCUUCCAGGAAAAGCCUCUAAACUUAUGAUAUAGCGAACCGUACCCCAAACCGACACAGGUGGUCAGGUAGAGAAUACUAAGGCGCUUGAGAGAACUCGGGUGAAGGAACUCGGCAAAAUUGUACCGUAACUUCGGGAGAAGGUACGCCCUUGUUUGUGAUAGCACUUGCUGCUUAAGCGAAUGAGGGCCGCAGUGACCAGGUGGCUGGGACUGUUUAUUAAAAACACAGCACUGUGCUAAAUCGAAAGAUGACGUAUACGGUGUGACACCUGCCCGGUGCCGGAAGGUUAAUUGAUGGGGUUAGCGUAAGCGAAGCUCUUGAUCGAAGCCCCGGUAAACGGCGGCCGUAACGAUAACGGUCCUAAGGUAGCGAAAUUCCUUGUCGGGUAAGUUCCGACCUGCACGAAUGGUGUAACCAUGGCCACGCUGUCUCCACCCGAGACUCAGUGAAAUUGAAAUUGCAGUGAAGAUGCUGUGUACCCGCACCUAGACGGAAAGACCCCGUGAACCUUUACUACAGCUUGGCACUGAACAUUGACCCUACAUGUGUAGGAUAGGUGGGAGGCUAUGAAGCAUUGUCGCCAGAUGAUGUGGAGCUGCCCUUGAAAUACCACCCUUGUAUGUUUGAUGUUCUAACAUUGGUCCCUGAUCGGGAUUGUGGACAGUGUCUGGUGGGUAGUUUGACUGGGGCGGUCUCCUCCCAAAGCGUAACGGAGGAGCACGAAGGUUGGCUAAUCCUGGUCGGACAUCAGGAGGUUAGUGCAAUGGCAUAAGCCAGCUUAACUGCGAGACAGACACGUCGAGCAGGUACGAAAGUAGGUCAUAGUGAUCCGGUGGUUCUGUAUGGAAGGGCCAUCGCUCAACGGAUAAAAGGUACUCCGGGGAUAACAGGCUG